rnacentral:rRNA from 1 species
UACGUAGGGGGCUAGCGUUGUCCGGAAUCAUUGGGCGUAAAGCGCGUGUAGGCGGUCCGGUAAGUCCGCUGUGAAAGUCGGGGGCUCAACCCUCGGAUGCCGGUGGAUACUGGCGGGCUUGAGUACGGAAGAGGCGAGUGGAAUUCCUGGUGUAGCGGUGAAAUGCGCAGAUAUCAGGAGGAACACCAAUUGCGAAGGCAGCUCGCUGGGACGUUACUGACGCUGAGACGCGAAAGCGUGGGGAGCAAACAGG